rnacentral:rRNA from 1 species
AUACGGAGGAUCCGAGCGUUAUCCGGAUUUAUUGGGUUUAAAGGGAGCGUAGGUGGAUUGUUAAGUCAGUUGUGAAAGUUUGCGGCUCAACCGUAAAAUUGCAGUUGAAACUGGCAGUCUUGAGUACAGUAGAGGUGGGCGGAAUUCGUGGUGUAGCGGUGAAAUGCUUAGAUAUCACGAAGAACUCCGAUUGCGAAGGCAGCUCACUAGACUGUUACUGACACUGAUGCUCGAAAGUGUGGGUAUCAAACAGGAUUAGAUACCCUUGUAGUCCACACAGUAAACGAUGAAUACCCGCUGUUUGCAAUAUACAGUAAGCGGCCAAGCUAAAGCAUUAAGUAUUCCCCCUGGGGAGUACGCCGGCAACGGUGAAACUCACAGGAAUUGACGGGG